AGGAACCCUGAGCAGGUAUAGCCUCAAGACAGAUGCUGUUCACCUUUGGCUGGCUGUAUUUAGCUUCGAGAGCGCCUGUCUUCUGACAACCCUCUGUGUAUAGGCCCCACCCCUUGAUCCAGGCCGCUUGCCCAUCAGUGCCUUUUGGGAGGAGAGGACCCUCCCUGCACCCUGACAGGCAGGCUCUCCUCUGAACUCCUUUCCUCUUGGGACUGUUACAUCCCCUGCCCUGUGCCCCUCAGUCGACUAUAGAUGCUAUCUCCCUUCCCAAUAAAGCUUUGGAGACC
rnacentral:lncRNA from 1 species